CACCUGAUUGACGAUGGAUUACCAGUGAGUGGCGGACGGGUGAGUAACACGUAGGUAACCUGCCCCGGAGCGGGGGAUAACAUUUGGAAACAGAUGCUAAUACCGCAUAACAACAAAAGCCACAUGGCUUUUGUUUGAAAGAUGGCUUUGGCUAUCACUCUGGGAUGGACCUGCGGUGCAUUAGCUAGUUGGUAAGGUAACGGCUUACCAAGGCGAUGAUGCAUAGCCGAGUUGAGAGACUGAUCGGCCACAAUGGAACUGAGACACGGUCCAUACUCCUACGGGAGGCAGCAGUAGGGAAUCUUCCACAAUGGGCGCAAGCCUGAUGGAGCAACACCGCGUGAGUGAAGAAGGGUUUCGGCUCGUAAAGCUCUGUUGUUGGAGAAGAACGUGCGUGAGAGUAACUGUUCACGCAGUGACGGUAUCCAACCAGAAAGUCACGGCUAACUACGUGCCAGCAGCCGCGGUAAUACGUAGGUGGCAAGCGUUAUCCGGAUUUAUUGGGCGUAAAGCGAGCGCAGGCGGUUGCUUAGGUCUGAUGUGAAAGCCUUCGGCUUAACCGAAGAAGUGCAUCGGAAACCGGGCGACUUGAGUGCAGAAGAGGACAGUGGAACUCCAUGUGUAGCGGUGGAAUGCGUAGAUAUAUGGAAGAACACCAGUGGCGAAGGCGGCUGUCUGGUCUGCAACUGACGCUGAGGCUCGAAAGCAUGGGUAGCGAACAGGAUUAGAUACCCUGGUAGUCCAUGCCGUAAACGAUGAGUGCUAGGUGUUGGAGGGUUUCCGCCC
rnacentral:rRNA from 1 species